UACAGAGGUGGCAAGCGUUGUUCGGAAUUACUGGGCGUAAAGGGCGCGUAGGCGGCCUUCUAAGUCAGACGUGAAAUCCCCCGGCUUAACCUGGGAACUGCGUCUGAUACUGGAGGGCUUGAGUGCGGGAGAGGGAUGUGGAAUUCCAGGUGUAGCGGUGAAAUGCGUAGAUAUCUGGAGGAACACCAAUGGCGAAGGCAGCUCGCUGGGACGUUACUGACGCUGAGACGCGAAAGCGUGGGGAGCAAACAGG
rnacentral:rRNA from 1 species